CUGGCAUUCAUCGUUACGGUGUGGACUACCAGGGUAUCUAAUCCUGUUUGCUCCCCACACUUUCGUACCUCAGCGUCAGUAUCGAGCCAGUAAGCCGCCUUCGCCACUGGUGUUCCUCCGAAUAUCUACGAAUUUCACCUCUACACUCGGAAUUCCACUUACCUCUCUCGAACUCAAGACUAGCAGUAUUAAAGGCAGUUCCAGGGUUGAGCCCUGGGAUUUCACCUCUAACUUACUAAUCCGCCUACGUACGCUUUACGCCCAGUAAUUCCGAACAACGCUAACCCCCUCCGUAUUACCGCGGCUGCUGGCACGGAGUUAGCCGGGGUUUCUUUACCGGAUACUGUCAUUAUCAUCUCUGGCGAAAGUGCUUUACGACCCUAAGGCCUUCAUCACACACGCGGCAUGGCUAGAUCAGGGUUUCCCCCAUUGUCUAAGAUUCCCUACUGCUGCCUCCCGUAGGAGUCUGGGCCGUGUCUCAGUCCCAGUGUGGCUGAUCAUCCUCUCAAACCAGCUAUAGAUCGUAGGCUUGGUAGGCCAUUACCCCACCAACUACCUAAUCUAACGCGGGCUAAUCCUUCUCCGAUAAAUCUUUCCCCCGAAGGGCGUAUAAGGUAUUACUCUCAGUUUCCCGAGGCUAUUCCUUAGAGAAGGGCAUAUUCCCACGCGUUACUCACCCGUCCGCCGCUCACCCCGAAGGGCGCGCUCGACUUGCAUGUAUUAGGCCUGCCGCCAGCGUUCGUUCUGAGCCAGGAUCAAACUCU
rnacentral:rRNA from 1 species